rnacentral:rRNA from 1 species
CCUACGGGUGGCAGCAGUGAGGAAUAUUGGUCAAUGGACGGAAGUCUGAACCAGCCAUGCCGCGUGCAGGAUGACGGCUCUAUGGGUUGUAAACUUCUUUUGUAAGGGGAUAAACCCCGAUACGUGUGUCGGGUUGAAUGUAUCUUACGAAUAAGCAUCGGCUAACUCCGUGCCAGCAGCCGCGGUAAUACGGAGGAUCCGAGCGUUAUCCGGAUUUAUUGGGUUUAAAGGGUGCGUAGGCGGUUGGAUAAGUCAGCGGUAAAAUCUGGGGGCUAAACCCGAACGUGCCGUUAAGACUGUUGGACUAGAGAAUACGUGCGGUAGGCGGAAUGCAUGGUGUAGCGGUGAAAUGCUUAGAGAUCACACAGAACACCGAUUGCGAAGGCAGUGUACCAAAGGAUAUCUGACGCUGAGGCACGAAAGCGUGGGUAUCAAACAGGAUUAGAUACCCUAGUAGUC